rnacentral:rRNA from 1 species
UACGGGGGGGGCAAGCGUUGUUCGGAAUUACUGGGCGUAAAGGGUCUGUAGGUGGCCAACUAAGUCAUACGUGAAAUCCCUCAGCUUAACUGGGGAACUGCGUCUGAUACUGGUUGGCUUGAGUGCAGGAGAGGAACGCGGAAUUCCAGGUGUAGCGGUGAAAUGCGUAGAUAUCUGGAGGAACACCGGUGGCGAAGGCGGCAUUCUGGACCAAUAUUGACGCUGAGGAGCGAAAGCCAGGGGAGCAAACGGG